rnacentral:rRNA from 1 species
UAUACUUACCAGAACUAUCACGGGAAUCCGGCCUGAGAGGGUGAACGGACACACUGGAACUGAGACACGGUCCAGACUCCUACGGGAGCCAGCAGUAGCGAAAAUUGCUCAAUCGCGGAAACGCUGAAGCAGCAACGCCGCGUGGAGGAUGAUGGUUUAAGGAUUGUAAACUCCUUUUGUUAGUGAAGAUAAUGACGGUAUCUAACGAUUAAGCACCGGCUAACUCCGUGCCAGCAGCCGCGGUAAUACGGAGGGUGCAAGCGUUACUCGGAAUCACUCGGCCUAAAGAGCGCGUAGGCGGCAUAGUCUGUCAGGUGUGAAAUCCUAUGGCUUAACCAUUGAACUGCAUUUGAAACUGCUAUUCUAGAGUGUGGGAGAGGUAGGUGGAAU